UAUGUACUCCCUCCGUUCGAAAAUACUUGUCGAAGAAAUGAGUAAAAAUGGGUGUAUCUAGAACUAAAAUGCGUCUAGAUACAUCCAUUUCUCCGACAAGUUUUCCGGAUGCAGGGAGUAUAUC
rfam:Triticum aestivum genome assembly, contig: Triticum_aestivum_CS42_TGACv1_scaffold_031063_1BL